GACAGAGGGGGCAAGCGUUGCUCGGGAAUUACUGGGCGUAAAGGGCGCGUAGGCGGGAUGGCAAGUCGGUCGUGAAAUCCCUCGGCUCAACCGAGGAACGUCGAUCGAUACUGCUGUUCUUGAGGAUUGCAGAGGAGACUGGAAUUCCCGGUGUAGCGGUGAAAUGGUGUAGAGAGUCGGGAGGAACACCGGUGGCGAAGGCGGGGUCUCUGGGCCGCAACUGGACGCUGAGGAGGCGAAAGCAUGGGGAGCGAACAGG
rnacentral:rRNA from 1 species